CAGCGCAACCCAUUGCGUGCUUUCAUGUUGUAACAGGACACAUGGGAUGUCUCCAUUCUCCGGAGACCAUCUGAAGCCUGGCAGAUGGAUUACCUUGUCAGUGUGACCCUUUCACAAAUGGGAAUUAAGAUGCCCAUUGACAGGAAGAUCCACCUCCACAGUUGACACAAUUCCACCGCACUCCCCAACUGUAUGCAAAUGAGACCUUGUAUGGGCAAAGGGUGUGUGUAUUUCACGCUUUUAUUUUCCAUGACACACUUAUUGUUUUCCUAUGAUAUAGAUAUGUACAAGGGCUAUUAUUUCUUCUACCCAGAAUGUAACUUUUGGGACUGGAGAAAGCUGGAGCCCAUCCCAGCUGACUUUGGGAGAAAGGCAGACUACACCCUGGCGUGGGAAGUCAACCCACGCUGCGUGAGCGGAAGUCACGCAAAUUCCGUUAUACAAUCGGCGACUUACUUUAUUGUCUUAAAAUUCCGACGCUAAUAUCAUGCAGGAUAUUUUUUUUUUCCUUUUUAGUAUGUAUAUACAUGUACAAAUCUUAGCUCAGGGCUUUUUUUUUUCUGGGGAUUUUGCAUAUUGUACACAUGCUUGCAUAUUCCGCCUUCCUUGCAUUCCAAAAACAUGCAUGUUAGGUUAAUUAUAGACUCAAUGGAUGGUUGUUUGUUUAUAUGUGGCUUGCGACUUCUGGCGACCAGUCUGGGGUGAACUCCGCCUCGAGUCCAAAGUCAGCCUAGGAUAGGCUCUAGGACACCAGUCACCCAAAUGCGGGCAAGCAUAAUGGAAAAUGAAUGGGUGGGCGGAAUAUUCAUGUUUGGUGCGGCCCGAGCAUUCCUUCAACUGAAUGUGAAAGUUUAUGCAAAUUAAGAUUUUGGCAUCGUUGGAAGUAUGUGUUCCCUUAUGUUGCAAGUUACCGUAUUUUCCGGGCUAGAAGGCGCACCUAAAAACCUAAAAUUUUCUCAAAAGCCGACAGUGCGCCUUAUAGUCCGGUGCGCCUUAUAUAAGGACAAAGUUUUAAAACGGGCCAUUCAUUGAAGGUGGGCCUUAUAGUCCGGUGCGCCUUAUAGUCCGGAAAAUACGAUAUAUGAAUUAUGUUAUGCACUAAAAAGCACUGCAAUAUUGGCCCACUUGAAUUCAGCCCUUGAGGACAAGUUUGCCAAGGGCUAAAAAAUGCUAACUAUCUUCUGGAAGAAAAGUAGUAGUUCUGGAGGAGGUUCUGAAAAUCUACUAAAAAUCAUGCCGAGUAUUUCAUUAUCCAACAAUUUGAAGAGGAACAUCUGCAAAUUCCAAACAAGCUCAGGGUAACAUUUUCACAAAAUUGAAUCUAAAUGCAUAUUCUAAUCUACAUUUUCAUCUAUCCACACCUAAAAGUAGAAACACUGUUGGUCUCUCUUGCAGUUGGGUCAUGACCUCAUGGAUUAACAUGCUUUUUAGGAAGAGCAGCGGGUGAGCGACCGACUGGUCCAGCCGUAGAUAAGAAGCGAGGUGAAUGCUGACAACCUGUUUCUUCUUUGAAAACAACCAAAGCUGACCUACCGUAUGAGGUUUUGUUUCAUUUUUUGCAAGCCGCAGGGUACUUCCUAGUUCGUGGAGGAUGUUCAGACUGAUGGGGACCAUUGGGCUUCUGCAGUGGCUCAUGCGUGUGUCUCGUCCUAGUGCGAAAAUGACUGCUGUGAAGCGGAUGUGUCCAUAUUGCGCUCUUGGAAUGCUGGCUAAAAGAUAUUUCGGGCGGUCCUGGCAUAUGCCAUUUUGAGGUUAUGAAAAGUACGCAGUAAACUAGUUUGUGCAGUGGCAUAAGAAUGGCAUGUGGCAAAAGAAGGCACGCUCACCGCUGAAUUCCGUUUUUUUCCAUUUCAAUUGUUUUUCUUUAUAGUCUGUUCUAUAAAGCUAUUUACGACUAUAAUUCUGAUUAGCAGUGGUUCAUCGCCAUAGGAAUGUAAUUCCAACGUAAAUAGGGGAAACCCUUUAUUCCAUUAAUAAUUCUAGAUUCUACAUUAUCUCUGAUGGCAAACAAAUAUUGACUUUCAAAUCAAACAUGAUACUGUAUAUUGUUUUUAUUCACAGACAAUACAGACGAAUUAACAUUUGGUCAGAAAUUCACCUUUGUGUAUGUUACUUGUGUAAAUGUAAAUUACACUUUGGCACAAAAAGUAAAAAAAAUAAUGUAUUAAAAUUAUUUAAUCCCCCGCUUCAUACCGCAACUAUCUUGGCACAAUUAUAGCAACCAUGAGUAUUUUUGACAAAGGUUUUGUCGGCCCUGACCUUUCAACAUUGGAUGCUUUAAAGCAAAUGAAUGAAAAGCGAUCGGGAACCACGAAGCACACCCACAUUGUUCCGCCACCGCUCAAAGCUAGGUGUGACAACUUAAAGCACUCAAAUGCACUUACGGCUGUGUGUGAAACGUUCCAGUCAAAGCGGCUGCAGCAGGUCAGGCUAUCGACCUUUAAGGCAUAUCUGACCUUCUGGCAGCCGGCCAAUGAGGAUGCAUGGGACACCAACAUGGUGGUUUCGGGGGUUUGGGGGGGCUCACAUACAUUUUAAUUGAUAGGAGACCCUCAAACAACCUUCAAAACAAACAUCAGCUCCUCCCCCAAACAUCAGCUUUGGGUUUUGAGCGAUUUUUUUU